rnacentral:lncRNA from 1 species
UGAGUUAUCAUUGAGAACUAAAUUGAGAAGAAAAGAACUGAAGGCCUGAAGGUCAUCUGUAGAAAAGAUGGACAUCUGAAAUCAUCAAACCAUUGAGAGAAACAGCCCUCAUUCUUUUAUGAGACAACCUGGAAGAAAACAGGACUCUGAAGAUUUGUCUCCAUAUUCUCUGGAAAGAUGUACUCUGAUUGCAGUAAGAGGGAGCCACAUGGUUUAUUAGAUGGUUGUUAAUUGAGCAUUCUGUGCAAAGAAGUUUGUGCCUUAGAUUUAGAAUUCCACCCUCAGUUGGAAUACAGAUGAUCCCUAACAAGUAACAUGAAAAAAUGAAUUGUGGAGCCAGAAGAGUGAGUUCUUGGAGAACUAAGGGCCAGAGACCUGUGAGCAAGAUUUGAUAAUUUUAUAAAAAUUAAAAGACGAUUUGAAAUGUUA